UACUCGGUAGGAAGGGGUAAAAUCCUUUGAUCUAUUGAUGACCACCUGUGGCGAAGGCGGUCUACCAGAACACGUUCGACGGUGAGGGAUGAAAGCUGGGGGAGCAAACCGGAUUAGAUACCCGGGUAGUCCCAGCUGUAAACGAUGCAGACUCGGUGAUGCACUGGCUUAUGGCCAGUGCAGUGCCGCAGGGAAGCCGUUAAGUUUGCCGCCUGGGAAGUACGUACGCAAGUAUGAAACUUAAAGGAAU
rnacentral:rRNA from 1 species